AUUGAACGCUGGCGGCAGGCCUAACACAUGCAAGUCGAACGAGUGGCGGACGGGGGAGUAAUGUCUGGGAAACUGCCUGAUGGAGGGGGAUAACUACUGGAAACGGUCGCCAACACCGCAAACUAACGGAUGUGCCGAGAUGGGAUUAGCUAGUAGGUGGGGUAAAGGCUCACCAAGGCGACGAUCCCUAGCGGGUCCGAGAGGAUGACCAUCCACACUGGAACUGAGACACGGCCCAGACUCCUACGGGAGGCAGCAGUGGGGAAUAUUUCACAAUGGGCGCAAGCCUGAUACAGCCAUGCCGCGUGUGUGAAGAAGGCCUUCGGAUUGUAAAGCACUUUCAGCGGGGAGGCGUUACCCGCAGAAGAAGCACCGGCUAACUCCGUGCCAGCAGCCGCGGUAAUAC
rnacentral:rRNA from 1 species